GGAGCGGCUGAGCAAUGGAGUUGGGACUCGGGGGAGCAAUAGGUGCCUGUGUCCCAAGCUUCCUGUGUGGCCCUUGCAAGCUCCUGCUCCCCUCGCCUGCAAGUGGAGCGAUGCUCAAGUUUGAGGAAUCUUUUCCUCGGCAGGCGGUAAAAGACGCCGCAGCUGCGAGUUUUGUGUCCUUCUUUGUUAUUGGAAAGCAGCCUCCUUGAGAGCAGGAGAGCAGCAGGCUGUCUGCUGUGUGGCUGCUGAAGGGCGUUUCUCCCCAGCUGAGAUCCCUGAGCCCACGCUGGCGGAGAACGAGCUGCGCCGCGGUGUCUUCAGUGGAGCCACUUUGCAGC